CUCGUAGGCGGUUCGUCGCGUCCGGUGUGAAAGUCCAUCGCCUAACGGUGGAUCUGCGCCGGGUACGGGCGGGCUGGAGUGCGGUAGGGGAGACUGGAAUUCCCGGUGCAACGGUGGAAUGUGUAGAUAUCGGGAAGAACACCAAUGGCGAAGGCAGGUCUCUGGGCCGUUACUGACGCUGAGGAGCGAAAGCGUGGGGAGCGAACA
rnacentral:rRNA from 1 species